rnacentral:rRNA from 1 species
CGGACGGGUGAGUAAUGCUUGGGAAUAUGCCUUUAGGUGGGGGACAACAGUUGGAAACGACUGCUAAUACCGCAUAAUGUCUACGGACCAAAGAGGGGGACCUUCGGGCCUCUUGCCUUUAGAUUAGCCCAAGUGAGAUUAGCUAGAUGGUAAGGUAAUGGCUUACCAUGGCGACGAUCUCUAGCUGGUUUGAGAGGAUGAUCAGCCACACUGGGACUGAGACACGGCCCAG